CCUACGGGUGGCAGCAGUGUGGAAUAUUGCACAAUGGGGGAAACCCUGAUCCAGCGACGCCGCGUGCGCGAUGAAGUAUCUCGGUAUGUAAAGCUCUAUUAGCAGGGAAGAAAAUGCCGGUACGUGACUAAGACGCCCCGGCUCACUACGUGCCAGCCGCCGCGGUAAUACGGCGGGGGCAAGCGUUAUCCGGAUUUACGGGGUGUAAAGGGGCCGUAGAGGGUCCUGCAAGUCAGAGGUGAAAGCCCGGGGCUCAACCCCGGGACUGUAUUUUAAACUGUAAGGCUAGAGUGUCGGAGAGGUAGGCGGAAUGUCUAGUGUAGCGGUGAAAUGCUUAGAGAUUAGAAGGAACACCAAUGGCGAAGGCAGCCUGCUAGGCGAUUACUGACGUUGAGGCACGAAAGCGUGGGGAGCAAACAGGAUUAGAUACCCCUGUAGUC
rnacentral:rRNA from 1 species